UUUUUUUUGCGGUGCAUUUCCUUAUAAAUCUAGCCUCUACUAGGCUUUGUCUGUGCAUUUGAUAUAAGAUCAGACAUAGCCUAUGAGAGGUUAGGUGUAGCAAGGGGUCAAACAGCAGAGAGCAC
rnacentral:precursor_RNA from 15 species